GACGAACGCUGGCGGCGUGCCUAAUACAUGCAAGUCGAACGCAGUGGGGACGGGUGAGUAACACGUGGGUAACCUCCCAUCAGAGGGGAUAACACUUGGAAACAGGUGCUAAACCGAUACUGAUGGAUGGACCCGCGGUGCAUUAGCUAGUGGGUGAGGUAACGGCUCACCAAGGCCACGAUGCAUAGCCGCCCUGAGAGGGUGAUGGGCCACACUGGGACGGAGAACCGGCCCAGCUCCCUACGGGAGGCAGCAGAAGGGAAUCUUCGGAAAUGGACGAAAGUCUGACCGAGAAACGCGGCGUGAGUGAAGAAGGUUUUCGGAUCGUAAACCUCUGUUGUUAGAGAAGCGGUAUCUAACCAGAAAGCCACGGCUAACUACGUGCCAGCCGCCGCGGUAAUAC
rnacentral:rRNA from 1 species